rnacentral:lncRNA from 1 species
CCUCUCGACUGCCCGCAUCCGCCCCAGGCCGCUCCAUCAGAAUAAUCUGGAAGCUGGGUCGCUUCCCACUACUCUUCACUCCUGUCGGAUUGCCCUCUUUCCUCUACCUCUUCCUAAGUCCUCCCUUCUUCUUCCUACGCCUCUCUCCUACCGCCGAUCCUUGCCGACGCACGGCACACUUCCUGGAACCCGGACAGAGAAGAAGAAGUUACGUCCUUCUCCUCUCUUAUUAUUCUGACUGUAUCCUCUACUGCUGCUACUAACUCCUUCUACUUGGCAGGUGCAACAUCAACAAACACUCUUCUUAUAUGGCUCACAUCCGAUUGACUAGUUUUUUUUUUAGAGAUAGCUAGCACGCUACCUGUUUUGUUUAUUUUAUUUAGAAAUAAACUUACAUGGAAAUGUGAAUUAACUAGGAUUCGAACUUGGGAUCUCGGAUACCAACAACCAAGCCUUUUGCCACUA